UCUGGGAGAUGAUGUGAACAAAAGGCCGAAUUGUAUGGCCGCCGCCUGGCAGUUUGUUCUCAGAGCGCGGCGCAAUGACAAAAACUGACCGAAGCGUUUGUCUGAUCCCAGU
rnacentral:snoRNA from 1 species